GGGGAUGUAAAGGUUUCGACGGGGAUUUCAAACCUUGGUAAGCGAGCGGCGGUGCGGAACCGCCAUAAAAUCCGCAACUUUAAAAUUAACUGACAACAAAACAGUUGCUUUAGCAGCCUGAGUGCUGCUCGUUCCUGCACAGAGUACCUCGGCUGUGUAAGGGGCGUCGAUUAGAGGUAAAUGUGAACAGGGGAGCGCUCCGAACCCUGUCACAGCUUAGGAGCUGCCAAAGUGCAUAGCCUGUUGAUGGGCGAUGCACCGAGGGAGAUUUAAAACACCAACUGCGUUCGGAGAAAACCUUGGCAAGAUUUUUUCGGACAGGGGUUCGAUUCCCCUCAUCUCCACCA
rnacentral:tmRNA from 1 species